rnacentral:ribozyme from 1 species
AUCAUCAAGGGGGGGGAGCCGGUCUUCCUCUUCGAGGGAAGGUCGGAGAUAGGGCCCAGGGCUCUGGGCCACAGGUCCAUCCUCGCCGACCCCAGGAGGG